GGUUAAAGAGAUCACUGAAAACCAAAAUACAUGUUAAAAAAACAUAGACAAGAAAGACCUAUUAAUAGGUAUAAAUAAAUACCAAAGUAAAAAGUUAAAAACUAAUGACCAACAACGUACCUAUUUGUAAAGAGAUCACUAAAAACCAAAAUCUAUCUUUAAAAAAACAAUAUUAAUGAACAACAACGUACCUCUUUUUAAAGAGAUCACUAAAAACCAAAAUACAUAUUUAAAAAGGAUUGACGAGAAUGACCUAUUAAUAGAUAUUAAUGAAUACCAAAUUAAAAGUUCAAUCUAAUGACCACCAAUGUACAUCUAUGGUUAAGGAUUCACUGAAAACCAAAAUACAUGUUAUAAAAAAUAUAGACUAGAAAGACCUCAUAAUAGAUAAAAAUAAAUACCCAAUUAAAAGUUAAAUAUGAAUGACUAACAACGUACAUCUUAUCAAAGAGAUCACUAAAGACCCAAAUCCAUGUUUAAAAAAACAUAGACUAACAAGACCUAUUAAUAGGUAUAAAUAAAAACCAAAGAAAAAGUUAAAUAUUAAUGACCAACAACGUACCUCUUUUUAAAGAGAUCACUAAAAACCAAAAUAACAUGUUUGAAAAAACAGAGGCAAGAAAGACCUUUUAAUAGGUUUAAAUAAACACCAAAGAAAAAGUUAAAUAUUAAUGACCAACAACGUACCUCUUUUUAAAGAGAUCACUGAAAACCAAAAUACAUGUUGAAAAAACAUAGACAAGAAAGACCUAUUUUAGAUAUAAAUAAAUACCAAAGUAAAAGUUAAAAACUAAUGACCAACAACGUACCUAUUUCUAAAGAGAUCAGUAAAAACCAAAAUCUAUCUUUAAAAAAACAAUAUUAAUGAACAACAACGUACCUCUUUUUAAAGAGAUCACUAAAAACCAAAAUACAUAUUCAAAAAGGAUUGACGAGAAUGACCCAUUAAUAGAUAUUAAUGAAUACCAAAUUAAAAGUUAAAUCUAAUGACCACCCAUGUACGUCUAUGGUUAAGGGUUCACUGAAAACCAAAAUACAUGUUAUAAAAAAUAUAGACUAGAAAGGCCUCAUAAUAGAUAAAAAUAAAUACCAAAUUAAAAGUUAAAUAUGAAUGACUAACAACGUACAUCUCAUUAAAGAGAUUACUAAAGACCCAAAUACAUGUUUAAAAGAACAUAGACUAACAAGACCUAUUAAUAGGUAUCAAUAAAAACCAAAGAAAAAGUUAAAUAUUAAUGACCAACAACGUACCUCUUUUUAAAGAGAUCACUAAAAACCAAAAUACAUGUUUAAAAAAACAGAGACAAGCAAGACCUAUUAAUAGGUUUAAAUAAACACCAAAGAAAAAGUUAAAUAUUAAUGACCAACAACGUACCUCUUUUAAAAGAGAUCACUGAAAACCAAAAUACAUGUUAAAAAACAUAGACAAGAAAGACCUAUGAAUAGGUAUAAAUAAAUACCAAAGUAAAAGUUAAAAACUAAUGACCAACAACGUACCUAUUUUUAAAGAGAUCACUAAAAACCAAAAUCUAUCUUUAAAAAAAAAAUAUUAAUGAACAACAACGUACCUCUUUUUAAAGUGAUCACUAAAAACCAAAAUACAUAUUUAAAAAGGAUUGACGAGAAUGACCUAUUAAUAGAUAUUAAUGAAUACCAAAUUAAAAGUUAAAUCUAAUGACCACCAAUGUACAUCUAUGGUUAAGGAUUCACUGAAAACCAAAAUACAUGUUAUAAAAAAUAUAGACUAGAAAGACCUCAUAAUAGAUAAAAAUAAAUACCCAAUUAAAAGUUAAAUAUGAAUGACUAACAACGUACAUCUUAUCAAAGAGAUCACUAAAGACCCAAAUCCAUGUUUAAAAAAACAUAGACUAACAAGACCUAUUAAUAGGUAUAAAUAAAAACCAAAGAAAAAGUUAAAUAUUAAUGACCAACAACGUACCUCUUUUUAAAGAGAUCACUAAAAACCAAAAUAACAUGUUUGAAAAAACAGAGGCAAGAAAGACCUUUUAAUAGGUUUAAAUAAACACCAAAGAAAAAGUUAAAUAUUAAUGACCAACAACGUACCUCUUUUUAAAGAGAUCACUGAAAACCAAAAUACAUGUUGAAAAAACAUAGACAAGAAAGACCUAUUUUAGAUAUAAAUAAAUACCAAAGUAAAAGUUAAAAACUAAUGACCAACAACGUACCUAUUUCUAAAGAGAUCAGUAAAAACCAAAAUCUAUCUUUAAAAAAACAAUAUUAAUGAACAACAACGUACCUCUUUUUAAAGAGAUCACUAAAAACCAAAAUACAUAUUCAAAAAGGAUUGACGAGAAUGACCCAUUAAUAGAUAUUAAUGAAUACCAAAUUAAAAGUUAAAUCUAAUGACCACCCAUGUACGUCUAUGGUUAAGGGUUCACUGAAAACCAAAAUACAUGUUAUAAAAAAUAUAGACUAGAAAGGCCUCAUAAUAGAUAAAAAUAAAUACCAAAUUAAAAGUUAAAUAUGAAUGACUAACAACGUACAUCUCAUUAAAGAGAUUACUAAAGACCCAAAUACAUGUUUAAAAGAACAUAGACUAACAAGACCUAUUAAUAGGUAUCAAUAAAAACCAAAGAAAAAGUUAAAUAUUAAUGACCAACAACGUACCUCUUUUUAAAGAGAUCACUAAAAACCAAAAUACAUGUUUAAAAAAACAGAGACAAGCAAGACCUAUUAAUAGGUUUAAAUAAACACCAAAGAAAAAGUUAAAUAUUAAUGACCAACAACGUACCUCUUUUAAAAGAGAUCACUGAAAACCAAAAUACAUGUUAAAAAACAUAGACAAGAAAGACCUAUGAAUAGGUAUAAAUAAAUACCAAAGUAAAAGUUAAAAACUAAUGACCAACAACGUACCUAUUUUUAAAGAGAUCACUAAAAACCAAAAUCUAUCUUUAAAAAAAAAAUAUUAAUGAACAACAACGUACCUCUUUUUAAAGUGAUCAUUAAAAAACCAAAAUACAUAUUUAAAAAGGAUUGACGAGAAUGACCUAUUAAUAGAUAUUAAUGAAUACCAAAUUAAAAGUUAAAAACUAAUGACCAACAACGUACCUAUUUGUAAAGAGAUCACUAAAAACCAAAAUCUAUCUUUAAAAAAAACAAUAUUAAUGAACAACAACGUACCUCUUUUUAAAGAGAUCACUAAAAACCAAAAUACAUAUUUAAAAAGGAUUGACGAGAAUGACCUAUUAAUAGAUAUUAAUGAAUACCAAAUUAAAAGUUAAAUCUAAUGACCACCAAUGUACGUCUAUGGUUAAGGGUUCACUGAAAACCAAAAUACAUGUUAUAAAAAAUAUAGACUAGAAAGACCUCAUAAAUAGAUAAAAAUAAAUACCAAAUUAAAAGUUAAAUAUGAAUGACUAACAACGUACAUCUUAUUAAAGAGAUCACUAAAGACCCAAAUCCAUGUUUAAAAAAACAUAGACUAACAAGACCUAUUAAUAGGUAUAAAUAAAAACCAAAGAAAAAGUUAAAUAUUAAUGACCAACAACGUACCCCUUUUUAAAGAGAUCACUAAAAACCAAAAUACAUGUUUAAAAAAACAGAGACAAGAAAGACCUAUUAAUAGGUUUAAAUAAACACCAAGGAAAAAGUUAAAUAUUAAUGACCAACAACGUACCUCUUUUUAAAGAGAUCACUAAAA
rnacentral:lncRNA from 1 species